AACGAACGCUGGCGGCGUGGAUAAGACAUGCAAGUCGGACGGGAUUUUCCGUUGUAGCAAUACGAUGGAAAGUCUAGUGGCGAACGGGUGCUUAACACGUGGGCAACCUGCCAGGAAGUGGGGGAUAGCUCGCCGAAAGGCGAAUUAAUACCGCAUGUGAUUAGAGAGGACAUCCUUUCGAAAUUAAAGUCGGGGCAACCUGACGCUUCUUGUGGGGCCCGCGGCCUAUCAGCUAGUUGGUGAGGUAAUGGCUCACCAAGGCUUUGACGGGUAGCUGGUCUGAGAGGACGACCAGCCACACUGGGACUGAGACACGGCCCAGACACCUACGGGUGGCAGCAGUCGAGAAUUUUUGACAAUGGGGGAAACCCUGAUCGAGCGACGCCGCGUGGAGGAUGAAGGUCUUCGGAUUGUAAACUCCUGUCAUUGGGGAACAAGGUGCAUACGUUAACUGCGUGUGCAUUGAUAGUACCCGAAGAGGAAGAGACGGCUAACUCUGUGCCAGCCGCCGCAGUAACAC
rnacentral:rRNA from 1 species